rnacentral:rRNA from 1 species
AGAGAUGUGGUUGCUCUCGAAAGAGAACAGGCACACAGGUCACGCAUGUCUUUUGUUAGCUUGUGUAGAGAGAUGGUGGGUUAAGUCACGGAGCGCGCCCCCCCUUUCUCAUUAGCUGCUAAAAGAGGGCCCUUUUAGGGGACCGCCGGUGACAAACCGGAGGAAGGUGGGGAUGACGUCAAGUCCUCAUGCCCCUUAUGUCUGGGGCUACACACGUCAUACAAUGGGCGGUACAAAGGGAAGCCAUCCCGCGAGGGGGAGCCAAUCCCAUAAAACCGGUCUCAGUUCAGAUCGCAGUCUGCAACUCGCCUGCGUGAAGUCGGAAUCGCUAGUAAUCGCGGAUCAGCAUGCCGCGGUGAAUGCGUUCCCGGGUCUUGUACACACCGCCCGUCAC